UACGAAGGGGGCUAGCGUUGUUCGGAAUUACUGGGCGUAAAGCGAGUGUAGGCGGUUGCCCAAGUCAGGCGUGAAAGCCUUGAGCUCAACUCAAGAAAUGCACUUGGUACUGGGUGGCUAGAGGACCGGAGAGGAUAGUGGAAUUCCCAGUGUAGUGGUGAAAUACGUAGAGAUUGGGAAGAACACCAGUGGCGAAGGCGGCUAUCUGGACGGUUACUGACGCUAAGACUCGAAAGCGUGGGGAGCAAACAGG
rnacentral:rRNA from 1 species